rnacentral:misc_RNA from 1 species
GCUCACUGCAAGGUUUUUGUUAUUAGCAUUGUGAAUUUUAACUUCAUUGUCCUCAGAUGCUUGCAUGUUUAUUUGUAGCCUGAUAUUUUGUUUAAUCAGUGUGAACAGUCAAAUCUGAGUCAUGAUAAUCCAAGCUUUGCGAAUACAACAGUGAAGUCUUAUCUUUUAGACAUUAGAUUAAAGAUUGUUGUCAGGGAAUUUUCACAUUGUCAUUAUUGUCCUAGUUUUCUGCCAACUAGUUUUUCAACGAG